GCAGUGAGGAAUAUUGGACAAUGGGCGCAAGCCUGAUCCAGCCAUGCCGCGUGCAGGAUGACGGUCCUAUGGAUUGUAAACUGCUUUUAUACGAGAAGAAACACUGCUACGUGUAGCAGCUUGACGGUAUCGUAAGAAUAAGGAUCGGCUAACUCCGUGCCAGCAGCCGCGGUAAUACGGAGGAUCCAAGCGUUAUCCGGAAUCAUUGGGUUUAAAGGGUCCGUAGGCGGUUUAAUAAGUCAGUGGUGAAAGCCCAUCGCUCAACGGUGGAACGGCCAUUGAUACUGUUAAACUUGAAUUAUUAGGAAGUAACUAGAAUAUGUAGUGUAGCGGUGAAAUGCUUAGAGAUUACAUGGAAUACCAAUUGCGAAGGCAGGUUACUACUAAUGGAUUGACGCUGAUGGACGAAAGCGUGGGUAGCGAACAGGAUUAGA
rnacentral:rRNA from 1 species